GCAUACAUUAAAAUUUACUUUUUACUUUUUUUGGUAAAAGCAUCAUUAACUGUAGGCUUGCUGUAAUAUAUUCAUGGUAUGCAUGAGAAAACAGAAGUCAAGAGAGGUUCAAGUUGUGGUCUUGUCUCCUGAUGUAAUGGUUAAUGUUUUCUCAAUUGGGUCUCAUCAUGCUGCAUAAUGAAUGAUAGUUUUAUGUUGGGGAAAUGUAAAAUAGCUAAAUAAUAGCAGGGUCUGUGCCAUAAUGACAGCAAAGGAAGGAACAAGAAGAUAAAAAGUGUGUUUACAAGAAUAUUAGUGUUUACUUAAAAUCUUUGAAGCAUGGCGGUGUGUACUGUGUGUUGCUGUGAGCAGUGGUCAGUAUAAAGCAUUAGUAUAUUCUGGAGUUCCCAUUCAUGUUGACCCACUACUGAAUUCUUGCAGUGAUUCUACUAAUAUUUUCUGCUAAUAUUAUCUACUAAUAUUAUCUUCCAUGGAUUGAAUCCAGAACCUUGUGCAUGCUAGCUAAGCACUCUACUGCUGAGCUACAGCCUCAGGGGUGGCUAAUAUUUGGGAUAUCACUAAGUCUCUCUCUCUCUCUCUCUCUCUCUCUCUCUCUCUCUCUCUCUCUCUCCCUCUCUCUCUCUCUCUCUCUCUCUCUCUCUGUUGUAUAGGUGUGCAUGUCUAUGGGGAGAUCUAAAGUUAUACUGUUUUCCACUUCUUUCUCUUGAUAUAAGAGUUCUUUACAAACCCAGAACUCACCAAAAUGCAGGUCUGGCUAGCCAGCUUGCUCAGGAAGUUCUGUGUUUUUGCUUUUUUUUUUUAGGCUGGACUCAUGGUGGGCCACUUAGAAGUUGCAUGGAUUCUGGGAACCUGAACUGUGUGCUCUCUUGGUUGAAUAGCAGAUACUUUAGCUGCUAAUGCAUCUCGCUAGCCCCUCUACAUUAUAUUUUGAGAAAGAAUCUUGACUGAAUCUCACCAAUUCAACUAGACCACGUGGCUAGCAAGCCCCAUGGAUUCUCCUCUCUCUGGCCACCAGUAUUGGGCUUAUAGGUUAUAGGUACAUAUAGCACCAGCUUUUUAAUAUAGGUGCUGGAGAUCAAGUCAUUUAUGGAGGCAUCUCUAUAGACUCUUAAGUGGCUUAUUAAUAUCUCUCUAUAUAGAUAGAUAUAUACAUAUCUAUAUACAUGUAUAUCUAUCUAUCUAUCUAUCUAUCUAUCUAUCUAUCUAUCUAUCUUAUCUAUCUACCUAUCUAUCUAUCACUUCCUUUUUAAUGUCCUUAGAAUUAGCAACUAUUUGAGCCCUGAGAAGGUGAGCUUGCUACUCUUUCAAAGUACCUUUUGUAUAAUUCUAAUAUAAUGAAUGGCAAAUCAAAUUUGGUGAUCUAUAUAAAUAAUAUAGUAAAAUUCAGUUUGUGUUAUAUCCAAGAAAGUUGGUCUGCUUAUUAUAAUAAAAAGAAAAUAACAUUAUCAAAUGUUACAAUAUUCAAUCUAUUUUACCAUCAUUUUUUUCUGAAGCUCAAAAUUCAUUGAAAACCAAGUAACACGGUUAGAGAGUUAGUAAACUACAGCAUAAGCUCUUCUGCUGGGUGUUGAGAUAUGUGGUAUUUGAAGGAGACCAACAUCAGACCUGAUAGAUUAUUUCUGUGAUCAUGACCAGUUCCACUAAAUGUAGAGACUAAUGACAUUUAUUUUAUUUAUGUUACAAGGACUUUGUGAAUAAAUGAAUAUAGUGAUUGAAAAAAAAAAGUUAGUCCAGGUCUCCUGUUUUCUCGAGUCCAGUACAGUUUGUCUGAACCACAGCUUUAUUUGUUUGUUUUUUAUUUUUCAGUAUGAGAUGUUUUAUUUAGCUAGGUGGUAGUGAUGCCUACCUUUAAUCCCAGCACUUGGGAGGUAAAGCCAGGCAGAUCUCUUUGAGUUUGAGGCCAGCCUGGCCUACAGGGUGAGUUCUAGGACAGCUAGGGCUAUACGGAGAAACCCUGUCUCAAACAACC
rnacentral:lncRNA from 1 species